GAAGGUGUGCUGUGAGGCAUGCUGGAGGUAUCAGAAGUGCGAAUGCUGACAUAAGUAACGAUAAAGCGGGUGAAAAGCCCGCUCGCCGGAAGACCAAGGGUUCCUGUCCAACGUUAAUCGGGGCAGGGUGAGUCGACCCCUAAGGCGAGGCCGAAAGGCGUAGUCGAUGGGAAACAGGUUAAUAUUCCUGUACUUGGUGUUACUGCGAAGGGGGGACGGAGAAGGCUAUGUUGGCCGGGCGACGGUUGUCCCGGUUUAAGCGUGUAGGCUGGUUUUCCAGGCAAAUCCGGAAAAUCAAGGCUGAGGCGUGAUGACGAGGCACUACGGUGCUGAAGCAACAAAUGCCCUGCUUCCAGGAAAAGCCUCUAAGCAUCAGGUAACAUCAAAUCGUACCCCAAACCGACACAGGUGGUCAGGUAGAGA
rnacentral:rRNA from 1 species